GACAUCAGUAUAAUAAGCCCAACGGGAGAAUGAUAUGGCAAUUUCUAAAUUUCCUAGAAGGAUCGCUCAGGAGGAUGGGCUUGAGCAGGCUGCCUUCCAUGUCACACCACCACUGGGCACAUUUUGUUUUUUGGCAACUGCCCCAACAGGAUUUUUUGUUCAUUCUGAAAAUCACAUCGCCAGAUCCAACACCUUUUUAUCCCAAUCACCAGUACAAGCCACCCGUAUCAGUGUACACUGUGGCUGACCGAUCCAUAGUGAUGCUUUGAGCACAAGGAAGGACUUUCUGGAAUCUACUUAUCUGACCAAGAAAGCUUCUUUCCAAAAGAAAUGCAAUUGUCUUGAGACUUCUUCCCUAGGGAUCUGAUCAACUAACCAGAAAAGAGCAACCACCAGAGAAGAGACUGUAGUCGUACAGUGUCCAGAAGGCAAAAGGACAAGUAUGCACUGCCCUACUUACCUACUUUCCACACUGCUGCACAGGAAAAUCUGACAGAGGACAAUAACAAACAUCUCACCAGCUCAUGCGUUCUUUUUUGAUCCUAAUUCCGAGAGACUCACCAAAGACAUGAAGAGAAAACAAACAAUACUUUUCUUGGAAAUAUUGUAAUUGCUGGUACAUUUGUUGUUCUGGCAUAAAGUAGAAAUUGUCAGGUAAACAUUGCUUCCUUUUGGAUCAAAAAGAAAUUUAACCAAAUAAAUGCAAGAGGUAUGAGGGAAGAUAAUGGGAAAUAAAUGAGAUUUGAGAAAUCAGUGGAGGUUCAAGUGGUUUUUUUUUUCUUUUGUAGUUGAUAAUACUCUGUUUUAAAUCAGUGAGUUUUACUUAUAUAUGCUUGUCCUUUUUUUUUUCUAGUUACCAGAACAAUACUCAGUGAACUUAUGAAUAUAUGGUAAAUAUUAAACACAUCCCACUUGGAUGAGAAGAUAUGUGAGUCGAUGAGUAUAGCUAAGUCUAAAGUUAGAUGUGUUCCAUAAACAUAGUGUUUAUGGAGUUGGUGCAUAUUCACUUCUCAGUAAG
rnacentral:lncRNA from 1 species